UGCAAAGGGCGUGGGGAGAAGGUCCCUCG
rnacentral:sRNA from 1 species